rnacentral:misc_RNA from 1 species
AACGCACAUUGCGCCCCCUGGCAUUCCGGGGGGCAUGCCUGUCCGAGCGUCAUUUCAACCCCUCAAGCGCGGCUUGUGACAUGGGCGACCCGUCCCCCCGGGGACGCGCCAGGAACACAGUGGGGAUGUCGCGGUAUCACCGGUGCCUCAGCGUAUGGGAGCAAACCAGAGCUGCACGGCGGGUGCGCGGCGUCGACCUCAGAGGGCCUCCAGGCCCAACACCAACCACGGUUGACCUCGGAUCAGGUAGGGAUACCCGCUGAACUUAA